rnacentral:rRNA from 1 species
GACGAACGCUGGCGGCGUGCUUAACACAUGCAAGUCGAACGGAAAGACCCUGCUUUUGUGGGGUGCUCGAUUGGCGAACGGGUGAGUAACACGUGAGUAACCUGCCCUUGAAUGUGUGAUAACUUCAGGGAACAGGGGCGAAUACCGGAGAGGAGCUCCUGCUGCAUGGGGGGGGUUGGAAAGUUACGGCGGUGGGGGAUGUACUCGCGGCUUAUCAGCUGGUUUGUGGGGUAGUGGCUUACCAGGGGUUUGACGGGUAGCCGGCCUGGGAGCGUGACCGGCCACCUUGGGCCUGAGAUACGGACCAGAAUCGUACGGGCGGCAGUAGUGGGGAAUCUUGCACAACGGGGGGAAGCCUGAUGCAGCAACGCCGGGUGCGGGAUGCCGGCCUUCGGGUUGUAAACAGCUUUCGACUGUGCUGAACCGUGCGUGACGGUACCGGGUCAAGAAGCCCCGGCUAACUACGUG